rnacentral:tRNA from 1 species
GGCUGGGUAGCUCAGUUGGUAAGAGCACCGCACUCAUAAAGCGGGGGUCGUGAGUUCAAAUCUCACCCCAGCCA